UAUCAUUGUUGGUCAAAAUUUUAGCAAUAGAGUAGUUUAAGAAAGAUUUCAACAUUCUGGACAAACCGUGAGCCAAUAUUUUCAUAUAUCAUUGGAUGCUCUUGUUAGAUUAUCAAUGGACAACAUCGUGCAGACAUCUGUGACAACAAUUCAUCCUUAUGUGCUGAAUUAUCCUAGAUAUUAUCCAUAUUUUCAGGAAGACUACUCCAAAAGUGAUACGUUUGACUUAUAUGCGUAGAUUCCACAGAAAAAGAUUGACUGCACAUUUAAUACUCAGAAGGAUCCAUCAUGUUAUGAACUGAGGAAGCGUAGUAUUUGUAGUGCAUCUCUGGGAGCGGAAUGGGUUAUAUGCUCUCACAAAGGAAUAAUGGGUGCGGUCAGGUUUUCUUCAUAUGGGUUUUGUUGGCAAGAAGGCCUAUCUUCUUCACUUUGGGCAUUUGAUGGGCUUAUCUAUGGGCUAUAGUGUAGCAGUAACAUUUAUGAGCUGUAAUCCUUUUAACUUUUCUUGUACUAUGGUAUGUAUCAUAAAAUUUACUGAAUGUGUUUAAUUUCAGCAUUAUGCUCCUAUGCUUACCACAAAAAAAAAAA